GCCUCUGUAGCUCAGUCGGUAGAGCAGGGGACUGAAAAUCCCCGUGUCAGUGGUUCGAUUCCGCUCGGAGGCACCA
rnacentral:tRNA from 1 species